ACCGCAGCCAGUUUCAAGCUGACAAUGUGAUGUCUUGGAAUGUGGAGUUGGGAAGAGAUGUGUACAAUCAGCUCUGCAGGCAACUCCAGCCCACUACUGUCCCGGCCCCUCCUUUGUCUGGUAGGAGGCAGGAUAGAGGAACAGAGAGAGGGCACAGCUAAAGAAUCCUAACCAGGAGCACCUGGGGAGCUUUUAUAAAUACAAACAGCUGUGUCCCACCCCUUGGCAAUACAGCAGAUCCAUGGGAGAAGAAAGAAAUUUGAAGUGAAUUGAAAUUUGUGAGCUUAGACAUAUGCUAAGAGUACAGUUAACUUGAGUUACUUUUUCCAUGCUGCUGAAUUGGGUCCUGAA